rnacentral:rRNA from 1 species
CGCAUCUGUGCAUGCAGCAUAUCAAUAAGCGGAGGAAAAGAAACUAACAAGGAUUCCCCUAGUAACGGCGAGUGAAGCGGGAAGAGCUCAAAUUUGAAAUCUUAAAGGGUUUCCCUUUACGAAUUGUAGUUUAAAGAAGUGUUUUCUGUUGAGGUUUUGGUAAAAGUUCUUUGGAAUAGGACAUCAUAGAGGGUGAGAAUCCCGUAUUUGACCUUUACUUUCAACUUUGUGAUACACUUUCAAAGAGUCGGAUUGUUUGGGAAUGCAGUCCAAAAUGGGUGGUAAAUUUCAUCUAAAGCUAAAUAUUGGCGAGGGACCGAUAGCGAACAAGUACCGUGAGGGAAAGAUGAAAAGAACUUUGAAAAGAGAGUUAAACAGUACGUGAAAUUGUCAAAAGGGAAGCGUUUGACAUCCAGUGUUGUUUUUCUGAAAAUCAAUUAAAGAACUGUUUAUGCUAAGUUGUUUAGACUUUAUCAGCUAACUGUUUAGUUUUGAGCUUUUCUUUAAUGCACUUUUCAGUUAACAAGUCAACAUCAAUUUCUUUUGCUGUAAAAAAGCUUGAGGAAGGUGGCUUGAGAUUCGUCUUAAGUGUUUAUAGCCUCUUGCCUAUGCAGUCGGAGAGAUUGAGGUCUGCAGCGUAGAUCCUUCGGGGCUAAAUGCAUUUGUGCUAAGUUAUAGCAUUUUAUAGACAACUUGUUGACUAUGAUUUGUCUUGUAGCUUACUCGCUUAUGUUAUUUUACCUACGCUUAGGAUGUUGACGAGACUGUCGAUCU